UGCCCUAGUAACGGCGAGUGAAGCGGCAACAGCUCAAAUUUGAAAUCUGGCUUCGGCCCGAGUUGUAAUUUGCAGAGGAAGCUUUAGGCGCGGCACCAUCUGAGUCCCCUGGAACGGGGCGCCACAGAGGGUGAGAGCCCCGUAUAGAUGGACGCCUAGCCUGUGUAAAGCUCCUUCGACGAGUCGAGUAGUUUGGGAAUGCUGCUCAAAAUGGGAGGUAAAUUUCUUCUAAAGCUAAAUAUUGGCCAGAGACCGAUAGCGCACAAGUAGAGUGAUCGAAAGAUGAAAAGCACUUUGAAAAGAGGGUUAAAUAGCACGUGAAAUUGUUGAAAGGGAAGCGCUUGUGACCAGACUUGCGCCGGGCGGAUCAUCCGGUGUUCUCACCGGUGCACUCCGCCCGGCUCAGGCCAGCAUCGGUUCUCGCGGGGGGAUAAAGGCCCUGGGAACGUAGCUCCUCCGGGAGUGUUAUAGCCCAGGGUGUAAUGCCCUCGCGGGGACCGAGGUUCGCGCAUCUGCAAGGAUGCUGGCGUAAUGGUCAUCA
rnacentral:rRNA from 1 species